GCCUCUGUAGCUCAGUUGGUUAGAGCGCUGCAGCAGAAUCGCAGGGCCGUAGGUUCAAUUCCUACCAGAGGAC
rnacentral:tRNA from 1 species